AGGUGAUGAUUCUAAUUAAUCCUGGUAAUGGUCCCAGGACGUUGUGUGGAAUAGAUGAAAUAGUAUUAACAUUAGGACCAUGCAUUGGUAGUUGGAGUGAAUGGGAAAAUGGUAUAUGUUCCCAACCUUGUGGUGAUGGAACUAUGAAUCGUACUCGAACUUGUCCGAAUGGUGCUCAAUGUCUUGAUAAUAAUGAAUAUAAAACAUAUCAAACUCAAAAUGGUGUUUACUGUAAAUUAAAAUCAUGUGACUGUAAUUUUGAUAGAGAUUGCACUGGUAAUUUUACAACUUGUGUGAAUACUGUAUGUAAAUGUAAAGAAAAUUACUCUCUGAA
rnacentral:lncRNA from 1 species